GGCUCGGUGGCUCCCCCCGUUAAAAAAAGUGGGGUUCCCGAGGUCUAACCUAGAAGUAUAUGCACAUUUCUAGUUCAUGUCCUUAGUUUGCAUGUCCUUAAGUUUGCAGAUUGCGGCAGGGUACUGCAGGGCCUUAAAGGGUGGAGAGCAGCGGAGGGGGGUGUAGGGCUCCCUUCACCCUGAACCCCGAGUCUAAGACUUUGAAUUCGAAGGGGAAAGGGCGUGGAUGGAAAUUUGAGAGAGGGUGAGACCAAGGACAAAGGUCUGAGGGGGACUAUUUUCUAACGCGGCCGCGGAAGAAUCGUUCCGAUGAACGUCCUCUCAGCGAUGCGUCCCUGAACAGUAUAUAAGCGGUUCUUAGAGUGGCCUUGGUUUCAUAGUGUAGGAGGGCGGUUAGCGUAGCGUUCUUCUAGGACUUCGAGCAGAUGAGCGCCAGACAGGGCUGGGUGGGGGUGUUAGAAAUGGCCCAGGUAGAGGAAGGAGACCGGGUCUCAAGGAGAAAAGGGCACUUUUUAGGAAUCUCUAGCGAGCUGAGCGGGGUAUGGAGGGGGAAGAGAAAAGAGGGGAGGGUGGAGGAAAAGAGUUGUGAGGGUUGAGUCGGCUGCUUUGAGAGUUGCUAUAGUGAGAUGUAGAAGUCACGGUCUAAGUUGAGCCACGGCUGGGUGGACGAGGAGAGAAAGGAAGCGUGUAUUCUGAAAGGGCACCCCCUGACAUUCGGGCUCAGGGAGGCGAAGGGGUGCCCUGGUUUGUAUGGAGGGAGGAGAAAGUAGUGCUGCAAGGGGAGGCUGUUCCAUAGACGGGACUGAGACUCAAACGUCCCCGGCGCCUUGUAUUGGCGUAGCCUGAGAGGGAAGGAGCAGAUGGCUCCGUUUAUAGAAGGAUAUCGGAGAAACUAGAAUGCUGGGUUUGCUCGGGCUGGUUUGGGGGGGGAGGGCAGCUCGAACAUAUCAUGCCAGCAGUCACUUUUUUUUCCAGGCGAAGGGUCUGUGGACCAUCCUGGGGGUGUGAGACUGGCAAAAAGCCCCAGGAGGUGCUGCUGAGCACAGACCUUGUGGAAAAGAACUUAGCUCCUGGAGGCUCAGGGUGAUGGCAGGAUUCUGCGUGGGGAACCUCUUUCCUAUUCUAGGUUGGAAGCUAACCUCUUUAGGUGUGACGUAACCAUCUGCUCCCUCUACCUCUGCUUCUCCUUCCUUUAGAGCAGUCGAUAAGUUCAGGUUUUAAGUUCUUUCUGGUUCUGGUGAGGCGUAAGUAAAUGAGGGGAAUAUGGCCUAUCGGUGGUACGUCAUUGGCUUGGAACUGAGCUGACUUAGCAGCCGCGGGGCGUGCUGUGGCCCCCCCCCAGGCUUUGGGUGGGGCAGAAUUGUAAGGUUGGAGGCGCCCCACCCCAUAUCCGGAAUGGGACAGGAAGCUUCUUCAAGGAGCUCUGGGUAUUGAGAGAUGGAGUGGGGGUGGGGGGACGCCAGCAAACAGACUUUCCCCCCCUACUUGAGCUGACUGGUCGGGCUGGGUGGCUUUAAGCAACCUGAUUUCUAGCUGCUACAUUCCUGAGGGCCUUUUCCAGUAAAGUAAAUGCUUUUUGGAACCUGAUUGAUUAUAGUGUUCAUCCGGACCAUCUGCUGACCCCAUCAGAAAUGGAGGGAGCAGUUUGCCCAUUGAACCCCUAGCGAGCAGAGCAGCAGGGAGAGAGCCGAACCAGAAAGCUUGUUUCCUUGUCUUCAGAGCCUUUGAGGAAGUUCUGGUGUUGAGGUUGCCACAUUUUAAGUUCUCGGCGGAGUUAAUUCCUCCCCAGCUGUCUGAGCAACCUCAGGAAAGAGUGGAGCCAGUGCACGGCCUGCGCCUGCGCCGCGGGUGUGUUGAGGCCCAGAGCCCUUCGGGGGGUGGGGUUUGCUGGCACGGGCCACCUUCCGAGCGGAAGCUUCGCCUAAGUAAUGACCAGUUGGGUGCCACGAACUUGUAGCAGCAAGACGACACAGCAGUAAACUGGGCCGACGCUACCAACCGCUGUAAGAAUAAGAGCAAAGAUUGCCCGCGAUGGACCCCGCCACCGCGAGGCCUCGUGCGGACGGCCAGAUGAACUGAAGGGCAGGCACUCUCGCGAGAGCUAAAUCGUGCUGGAGGGAGAGGGCGGGUUUAGGCGGGGAAGGGUCGGGCUGACUCCAGGCUUAGAGAAGUAGUGAAAUUGGGGGGGGGGCGGGGAUCGCUAUGGGUCAGUCAUUGGCUCUUCGGCUUCAGAUGCCAGGUUGGGCGGGGCAUUAAGGCAUGGGAGGGGGAGGGGAAAAGGGAGGUGCCUCUAGGGGGUGGGAGGGCAAGCAUCGAGGGGGAGGGGAAAAGGGAGGUGCCUCUAGAGGGAGGAAGGACAAGUAUCGAGGGGAAGGGGAAGUGCCUCUAGAGGGGUGGGAGGGGCAAGCAUCGAGGGGGAGGGGAAAAGGGAGGUGCCUCUAGAGGGAGGGAGGAAGGACAAGUAUCGAGGGGGAGGGGAAAGGGAAGUGCCUCUAGAGGGGUGGGAGGGGCAAGCAUCUUUGGGGGCGCGGGCGAGAACUCUAGCCCUGGUUUUGGAACCGGAGAUGUAGGUUUAUUAAACGAGGGAGGGCAGGGUUGGCUUGGGUUUUUCUGUAAUGAAAUGGCAAACGGGAGGAAACCCCGAGUACUCUUUAAAAGGAAAGAAGCUCCCCUGAGACUGCUUGGUGUUCUCCGGGCAAACCAUGGGAAUCCACAGAGUGGAGGGCAGCCUGGAGGCCUCGUGAAGGCGAUCCUGUGUUGCUAGUGAACCCGGUGGGAGCAGGGCUUGUUGGAAGGGUUUUUAAGUGCUGGAAGGCCAGCCGCGGGGCUCUGCUUGUAACGGCGAUCGCGGCUCAUUGUAAACCAUAAUAAAGGACUCCAGAACCACCUGUGCUGUGAACUUGGGGAAGGCGGCGCUCUUGGGCUUUUGGACUGAUUUUCUCUGUAACCAGCCGAAUGUGAACGGGACUUUGGGGACUGGAAACCGAGGGUCGAUUUUGUCCAUUGGAGACGUCCUUGUUAGCUCUUAGCUCGCUGGUGCGGGUGGUUUUUGCAGUCUUAUUUUGUGAUGAAAUGACCGAAAGGGUAGAGAAGUGACUUUGUAUCGUGUUCUUCCACCAAAACAGCCUUCCAGUGGGGCGUCCAAGAUGGGACCUAGAGAGCCCCUUGGCCCACGCUUUGGCCCUGGGACUGUGGAUGGGCCGUUUUGGUGCAUGAUACAAACUGCUUAGGAAAGGGUAGACGCUACCGGGGGAGGGGGGGGUGCGGUUGCUAAGAAUGUUCUGUACUUCCCAAGAGCUGGUAUGUUUUGUACAUGACUAACGUUUUUCUCCCUUGAACAGCACCAAUAAAAGUUUGAAAGUUUCCUGUU